rnacentral:lncRNA from 1 species
GUAUGAAAGGAGAGAAGCAGCUAUAAAUCAGAAGGAAGGUAGAAAACAUAUUUACUAGGGUCUGUCUUUGCUUGUAGUUCUCUGGCUUGAUUGAGGAGGUUCUCGCUCUCAUCCUUAUGGUAAAUAAUUUGAGUAUCAAUCCCACUCACAGCCUACAAAGGAAUUGUAUGGAAAGAAUAAGAAUGACAGCAGAAGAAAUCCACUUCUCAUGGAUUGAAGAUUUAAAUGACACCGUUUCUCUGCUAAACACCAAGCAAGACUCGUACAACUUCAUUUCCAUAGCUCAAAAUCAAAGUCAAAUGUGAACAGGAAAAGAUAAAGUGCAUGACGUUUUCACGGUAAACAUUUUUCAAGGAAAAUUCAGUAAAUCUAGAACAGUGCCUGGUCAAGUCCCCUCUGAAGUACUUGUCAAAUAGAAGCCACUCAAUAAAUAGUUUUUGAGUUGAAAAAAUGUGAAUGUGUGCAUAAAGCAACUUCUCUAUCAGCAUGGAGUAAUCUUAAAUAUGGUUUAUUCAGGGACUGUGGUUUAAAAAUGCUGUCAAAAAGACACUGGCAUUUGCUGACAGGAGUAUGGCACAUCUUGAACUACUGAAACCUUCAUAACACAAAUAAAAUGCUGUUUUCUUAGUUUUCUUGACCUUUCUGCCAUUCGUAUUACACUGGAAGCUCAAGAGAUGACAUUAGAAAACAGAAAACUCAUAAGCUGGGAGACGGCAGCAUGUAAAUGAACUUUAAAAUAAGGGAAUACUCGGUGUGUGUGUGUGUGUGUGUGUGUACACCUGGCUGGCUCUGUUGGUGGAGUGUGGGACUCUGUCUUGGAGUUGUGAGUUCUAGCCCCAUGUUGGGUGUAGAGAUUACUUCAAAACAAAAUCUUAAAAAAAUAAGGGAACACUCACAUCAUAAAUCCGGUCAGUGAUGUUCAAAGCCAAUUCUGCUGUGUCAUUGGCUUCGCUAACAUAAUUGGCAAUAUUUUCAUAGACAUUUGAAGCGUCCAAAGCCUUCUGUACCAGCCCGUUCAUAUCUGAACUGUGCAAAUUCCUGUAAAAGAAGAAACUCGUCCUUU